UACAGAGGGGGCAAGCGUUGUUCGGAAUUACUGGGCGUAAAGCGUGCGCAGGCGGUUAUGUAAGACAGGUGUGAAAUCCCCGGGCUUAACCUGGGAACUGCAUUUGUGACUGCAUAGCUAGAGUACGGUAGAGGGGGAUGGAAUUCCGCGUGUAGCAGUGAAAUGCGUAGAUAUGCGGAGGAACACCGAUGGCGAAGGCAAUCCCCUGGACCUGUACUGACGCUCAUGCACGAAAGCGUGGGGAGCAAACAGG
rnacentral:rRNA from 1 species